ensembl:lncRNA novel transcript
UCAUUUGUCUCCCCUUUCUGCCUGGGAGUACCAGCAAAGCAGUCAUGUUUUAAAUGUGGUCUGUGUACUGGUGCCAGACGGUGAACUUUGCCACCAGCUUUUGAUGGGAUAAAUACAAACAGGCAGGGCUUGUGGCAGCAGAGAUGAUCAGUAAGAAUCUGGUAAGUGAAAGAAUGCUGGAGCUGGAAGGGGUCCUUGGGAUCUGCUAUCCUAACUUCUUUAUUUUACUGAGGAGGAGAGAGGAUAUGCCUAAAGGUGAAAGGAUUUGUUGGUGGCAGAGCCAGAACAUCUGAUCCUUCACCCAGUGCUCAUUCCCCUUCUCUGUACUGCUGGCGUGAAUCAGAGUGUGGAGCUUCAACAGAGGACAGACAGCCUGAGGCACAGCUGAUUCUCUCCACAUCAGGCAGUGCCGCCAGAUGGACAGACGGUGAAGUGUAACAAGAAGCGAACUCUUAAGUUUUGGGUCCUGACAACAAGCCAAGAGGCUGUUAAAGGGGAUGGCACCACUGGAAAGGAUCUUUGCCUCAGGCAGGGAUGGUGGGGAAUUUAAGGACUCAUUU